AAUCACUAACCACACAGCCAG
rnacentral:ncRNA from 2 species